GUGGGAGCAUGAGAAGGGGAGGACUAGGUCUGUGUGGGGAUUUGGUUCCAGGUGUUGCUGUACUAGGGACUGGAGUUUUGUCUUGGGAGUAGGUACCUGGUGAGGUUGGAGGCCAGGCAGCAGUAGGGAGCUCAAGCAGUGCUAAAUCAUCUGCCAAGUGUGACUAAGCCAGCACACAGCAUUUCAGUAGAACUGCUUGAGGCUACUACACAGGAAGAGCUGGGAGGAAUCUGGUCCAUUGUGCAGGAGCAGUAUCCUUCUCCCAUGACUCUGCAACUUUCUAGCAUCAUUCUUAAGAGGAAGGCAACCACAAUGAGAUGAGUUCUCCAGCUAGGGGUCCAGUACUACCAAUAAACAGGCCAAAGACAGCUACCUUUCUUGUCCUGCCCGGGACCUCCUAGGACACAUGCUAAAGUGAGAUCUGUCUUUGCAACAGCACUGUUUUAUGAAUUUAUAGUAUGCCUCUGAUCUUUUUAUGUCCUUAAUAUAUUUUCUGCCUGGCUGAUUUUUCCCCACUGGGAAUGAUGCUUUCAGAUGUGUAGUGCCUGUUAUCUUUCUUGAGUACAUUCUGCUAGUCUUUUUGAAUUCAUCUCGUUGAACAAUCUUGUUAAGACUGUCCAGCUAAAAUUGUUUGGUAGCUAUGCUUUGUAAAAGUAAGAGUUAUGAUUUAUUAAUCCUUUGGUGAUAGUAAGAAAAAUCUUUUCAUCUGAGAAGCUGAACAAACUCAGUCUGAGUUUUUGAAAAUCCAUCCCAGCUUCUUACUACAGCUCAACUCACAGAUUGUCAUUAUUUUGCUUCUUUCCUUAAUCUGAUAGAUCAAGAUUCUACAUAAGGACUCCAGGUUCUGCUGUGAUGGAAACACUGGGUGGUGGUGGUGGCGGCUGGGAGGAAACAUCGUACCAUAGUUUCACCAGUUCUAUGUUCUUAAGGUUCUUUCAGGUGUGCUCUCUCCAGUGUCACCUGCAAAAGUCAUUCUAAAAAGUGAUCAUUCUUCAUGAAUGCUCUGGGCAGGAUGUCUAUCUGCCCAUCAGAUCUUCCCACUAAGGUGGUUAUGUAGCUAAAAUACAUCAAUAGCAGCAUUUUCCUCCUCAUGUGUCAAGAUCUAGGUAGAUUUGAUAUAUAUACAUUUCUACACUGGUAUAAAAGGGCAUGUUCUUUCCAUGCCUACAUGGUAGACUAUCUUCAAGGCAGCACUGAGUACCAAAAGGCAUAUGGCUAUGCAAGUGCUCCACUCCUGUCAGGAUAAGGCACCUUGCUUGCAUAAAGUCAGAAGGAUAAAGACAAACAAGAGCCUUUCCUGUCCUCUUCUCAGCUAUUCACUCAUUUUUCCUCUGCUGGAGUUGCCUGUUGCUCUAGCAGAGGAGCAGUUUGCAAACUGAUGAGCUCACAACCUGCAUUACCUCUUUCUGAGAGUGAGAGCAUAAAUUUCUAGCAGAGCUGCUUCUUAAGCAGAGGCAGGGAAGCUAUUUUAAGUUGAUAUUAAAAAAAGAUAAAUGAGUGAUAAAUCAUAGAAAUGAUGAUCAGGAAACUGUUUAUUAGCACUAAUGUUUAUUAGCACUAAUGCCAAGUCAAAUCAGUUUUUAAAUAUAUAAUUAAGUUUAUGUUUCAAUAAUUUUCUGAAUAUGGACUAGGUUUUAGCUGAGAAUCCCUGGGAGAUUCCUAAGCUAAAAAUAUAUCUAAGAGGAACAGAGUUGUUGAGGAAAUGUCGUACUGCUGCAGUGAAUGUAGAACACUCAGAUCUGUAGAGUUUGUAGAGUGAACUCCAAAGCAGACUUUUCAGGAGAACUGUGCACAUGCAAUUACAUUCCAGCUUGUAUGGAAUAUGGCAAA